AUUGAACGCUGGCGGCAGGCCUAACACAUGCAAGUCGAACGAGUGGCGGACGGGUGAGUAAUGUCUGGGAAACUGCCUGAUGGAGGGGGAUAACUACUGGAAACGGUAGCUAAUACCGCAUACCAUCAGAUUUGCCCAGAUGGGAUUAGCUAGUUGGUGGGGUAACGGCUAACCAAGGCGACGAUCCCUAGCUGGUCUGAGAGGAUGACCAGCCCAACUGGGACUGUGACAGGGCCCAGACUCCUACGGGAGGCAUCAGUGGGGAAUUUUGGACAAUGGGGGCAACCCGGAUCCGGCCCUGCCGCGUGUAUGAGGAAGGCCUUCGGGUUGUAAAGUACUUUUGUUAGGGAAGCGGUACCUAAAGAAUAAGCACCGGCUAACUACGUGCCAGCAGCCGCGGUAAUUC
rnacentral:rRNA from 1 species